UACGGAGGAUGCAAGCGUUAUCCGGAAUGAUUGGGCGUAAAGCGUCCGCAGGUGGCUGUGUAAGUCUGCUGUUAAAGAGUGAGGCUCAACCUCAUAAAGGCAGUGGAAACUACAUGGCUAGAGUGCGUUCGGGGCAGAGGGAAUUCCUGGUGUAGCGGUGAAAUGCGUAGAUAUCGGGAAGAACACCAGUGGCGAAAGCGCUCUACUGGACCAAGACUGACACUGAGGGACGAAAGCUAGGGGAGCGAAAGGG
rnacentral:rRNA from 1 species